rnacentral:rRNA from 1 species
CCUACGGGGGGCUGCAGUAGGGAAUCUUCCACAAUGGACGAAAGUCUGAUGGAGCAACGCCGCGUGUGUGAUGAAGGGUUUCGGCUCGUAAAACACUGUUGUAAGAGAAGAAUGACAUUGAGAGUAACUGUUCAGUGUGUGACGGUAUCUUACCAGAAAGGAACGGCUAAAUACGUGCCAGCAGCCGCGGUAAUACGUAUGUUCCAAGCGUUAUCCGGAUUUAUUGGGCGUAAAGCGAGCGCAGACGGUUAAUUAAGGCCGAGGUGAAAGCCCACAGCGUAGAUGUGGAAGUGCGUUGGACACUGGAGAACUUGAGUGCAGUAGAGGAGAGUGGAACUCCAUGUGUGGCGGUUAAAGGCGUAGAUAUAUGGAAGAACACCAGUGGCGAAGGCGGCUCUCUGGACUGUAACUGACGUUGAGGCUCGAAAGUGUGGGUAGCAAACAGGAUUAGAUACCCUUGUAGUC